AUUUUACCAAAUUCCUUUGAUAUCACUUCUCUCCUUCAUUCACAGGUGAGCUGUGAAGCUUUCAGCAGCUUUCCAGGAAGCUGGUUCCCUGUUGUCCGUGGAGCAGGCACCUGGAAGUCCUGAUCUCACAGAUUCCUGCUAGCACUGCUGGGGAACAGGGCUGUCCCUGCCUCGAGCCCUCCGUGCUCUCCCUGCAAAAACCCGGCCCCUAGUCUGCCCAGGGGUCCAUCCACACUCCAGGUCCAUCCAGCACUGUCCUUCCUCUGAGCUUGUCCAGUGCUAGUUGCUGCAGGAGAAGAUAUUAAUUUCAGUGGACUUCAUGAUGUGUUUUGGCUUCUUUGUCUGGAUUGAUACAAGACAGUUCCAAGAUCAUGGCAGAUGCUCAGGUCUUCAGACAAACACGUAUUUUCAAGGAGCAAGCAUGGAGGGCCUUAGCAGGUGAAGUUACUAGACCUACCCUAAAACUCCGGGUUUAUAUCCUUGACGAUGGGCUACACAGAAGCACUAAAACCAUCGCACACAAAGGCACCACGGGAUUUCCACCAUCAACAUGAGCUCUCUGCCUGCCUCUGGCACUAGCUGUCAGAACUGCUUCAUCUGAAAUCAAGAUGUCACCCGACAARAUGAUGGCUACUAAAAAGGGGAAUAAUUUGGGAAAAGUCAUAAAGCCCAUUAUCUCCUGCUGAAACCAUUUCUCUUUGCCAUUUCUG
ensembl:lncRNA